GAGUUUGAUCGUGGCUCAGAUUGAACGCUGGCGGCAUGCCUUACACAUGCAAGUCGAACGGCAGCAUGAUCUAGCUUGCUAGAUUGAUGGCGAGUGGCGAACGGGUGAGUAAUACAUUGGAACGUGCCCUGUAGUGGGGGAUAACUAGUCGAAAGAUUAGCUAAUACCGCAUACGACCUGAGGGUGAAAGUGGGGGACCGCAAGGCCUCAUGCUAUAGGAGCGGCCGAUGUCUGAUUAGCUAGUUGGUGGGGUAAAGGCCCACCAAGGCGACGAUCAGUAGCUGGUCUGAGAGGACGAUCAGCCACACUGGGACUGAGACACGGCCCAGACUCCUACGGGAGGCAGCAGUGGGGAAUUUUGGACAAUGGGCGAAAGCCUGAUCCAGCAAUGCCGCGUGUGUGAAGAAGGCCU
rnacentral:rRNA from 1 species